AACGAACGCUGGCGGCGUGGCUAAGACAUGCAAGUCGAACGGACCGGUUGUUUGGGUAACUAAAUGGCCGGUUAGCGGCGAAAGGGUGAGGAAUAGAUAGGUAACGUACCCCGAUCUUCAGAAUAGCGUCAUACCCGCAAGGGUAUUUCCGAAAGGGGCGGUAAUGCUGAAUAAUGUAACGAGUCGCAUGGCUUGUUACCAAAGAUUUAUCGGUUCGGGAGCGGCCUAUCUCCUAUCAGCUAGUUGGUGAGGUAAUGGCUCACCAAGGCGAUGACGGGUAGCGGGGCUGAGAGGUUGGCCCGCCACAUCGGGACUGAGACACUGCCCGGACCUCCACGGAGGGCUGCAGUAACGAAUAUUGGGCAAUGGGCGAAAGCCUGACCCAGCGACGCCGCGUGCGGGAGGAAGUCCCUCGGGAUGUAAACCGCUGUCAGGGUGAAGAAGUCCGCAAGGAUUGAUCUAACCCAGAGGAAGCAACGGCUAACUUCGUG
rnacentral:rRNA from 1 species